GACGAACGCUGGCGGCGUGCUUAACACAUGCAAGUCGUACGGUAAGGCCCUUUCGGGGGUACACGAGUGGCGAACGGGUGAGUAACACGUGAGUAACCUGCCCACAACUUUGGGAUAACGCUAGGAAACUGGUGCUAAUACUGGAUAUGUGCUCCUGCUGCAUGGUGGGGGUUGGAAAGCUCCGGCGGUUGUGGAUGGACUCGCGGCCUAUCAGCUUGUUGGUGGGGUAGUGGCCUACCAAGGCGGCGACGGGUAGCCGGCCUGAGAGGGUGACCGGCCACAUUGGGACUGAGAUACGGCCCAGACUCCUACGGGAGGCAGCAGGGGGGAAUAUUGCACAAUGGGCGCAAGCCUGAUGCAGCAACGCCGCGGGCGGGAUGACGGGCUUCGGGUUGUAAACCGCUUUCAGCAGGGGCGAAGCUUUUUGUGACGGUACCUGCAGAAGAAGCACCGGCUAACUACGUG
rnacentral:rRNA from 1 species